GUCUCCGAAACGUUCGCUCCCAACCCAAUGUGAACCAUACCAAACUGUUGCCUCGGCGGGGUCACGCCCCGGGUGCGUCGCAGCCCCGGAACCAGGCGCCCGCCGGAGGGACCAACCAAACUCUUUACUGUAGUCCCCUCGCGGACGUUAUUUCUUACAGCUCUGAGCAAAAAAUUCAAAAUGAAUCAAAACUUUCAACAACGGAUCUCUUGGUUCUGGCAUCGAUGAAGAACGCAGCGAAAUGCGAUAAGUAAUGUGAAUUGCAGAAUUCAGUGAAUCAUCGAAUCUUUGAACGCACAUUGCGCCCGCCAGUAUUCUGGCGGGCAUGCCUGUCCGAGCGUCAUUUCAACCCUCGAACCCCUCCGGGGGGUCGGCGUUGGGGAUCGGGAACCCCUCAGACGGGAUCCCGGCCCCGAAAUACAGUGGCGGUCUCGCCGCAGCCUCUCCUGCGCAGUAGUUUGCACAACUCGCACCGGGAGCGCGGCGCGUCCACGUCCGUAAAACACCCAACUUUCUGAAAUGUUGACCUCGGAUCAGGUAGGAAUACCCGCUGAACUUAAGCAUAUCAAAAACCCGGAGGGAA
rnacentral:rRNA from 1 species